rnacentral:hammerhead_ribozyme from 1 species
GAACUGCCGAGGGGUCCUAUAAUAGGGCGAAACGGCCGUCCAGUGC